rnacentral:rRNA from 1 species
UACGAAGGGGGCUAGCGUUGUUCGGAAUUACUGGGCGUAAAGCGCACGUAGGCGGAUAUUUAAGUCAGGGGUGAAAUCCCGGGGCUCAACCCCGGAACUGCCUUUGAUACUGGAUAUCUCGAGUCCGAGAGAGGUGAGUGGAAUUCCGAGUGUAGAGGUGAAAUUCGUAGAUAUUCGGAGGAACACCAGUGGCGAAGGCGGCUCACUGGCUCGGUACUGACGCUGAGGUGCGAAAGCGUGGGGAGCAAACAGG